GAUGAACGCUGGCGGCGUGCCUAACACAUGCAAGUCGAGCGAUUUACUUCGGUAAAGAGCGGCGGACGGGUGAGUAACGCGUGGGUAACCUGCCCUGUACACACGGAUAACAUACCGAAAGGUAUGCUAAUACGGGAUGAUAUGAGAAAGUCGCAUGGCUUUUUUAUCAAAGCUCCGGCGGUACAGGAUGGACCCGCGUCUGAUUAGCUAGUUGGUAAGGUAAUGGCUUACCAAGGCGACGAUCAGUAGCCGACCUGAGAGGGUGAUCGGCCACAUUGGAACUGAGACACGGUCCAAACUCCUACGGGAGGCAGCAGUGGGGAAUAUUGCACAAUGGGCGAAAGCCUGAUGCAGCAACGCCGCGUGAGCGAUGAAGGCCUUCGGGUCGUAAAGCUCUGUCCUCAAGGAAGAUAAUGACGGUACUUGAGGAGGAAGCCCCGGCUAACUACGUG
rnacentral:rRNA from 1 species